rnacentral:rRNA from 1 species
GCUAUUUAGGUUAGAGUUUGAUCCUGGCUCAGGACAAACGCUGGCGGCGUGCGUAACACAUGCAAGUCGGACGAGCGGGGUGGCUUCGGCUGCUUCGCGAGUGGCGGACGGGUGCGUAACACGUGGAUGACCUGCCUCGCGGUGGGGGAUACCCCUCAGAAAUGGGGGCUAAGACCGCAUGCGUCGGCACGCGUAAGGGCGUGUCGGGAAAGCGCUGGCUUCGCGGCUGGCGCGCCGGGAGAGGGGUCCGCGGCCGAUUAGCUGGUUGGCGGGGUAACGGCCCACCAAGGCGACGAUCGGUAGCUGGUCUGAGAGGACGAUCAGCCCGCCC